GUAAUGGUGUAAGUACCUACUUGUAUUGCAUUUAUGGUGAAACUAACGUGAUAUAUUUGGAACCACUAGAUUUCCUGUUUAAUAAUCUAUGAGAACGAUUAAAUCGAUACCGACGUCCGACGAUGUACCGUUCGCCUACACCUAUGGAAUUUUUCUAGAUUAAAAGAAGUUCCAUCUGUAAAAUAUCGGUUACAUUUUUUGUUCCAAUAUUAUCGAAGUAAACUGAAAUUAUAAACAGUAAAAAACAAUUUUAUCGCAGGUAUUUAGAAAUUUUUAGGCUUAAAGCGGUUUUUUUUUUUUUUUUUGGAAAUUACCAUAUUCCCGAUCCCCAGCCAAAGUAAAUUAUUGGACUAUCAUAACUGUUC